rnacentral:rRNA from 1 species
UACGGAGGGGGCUAGCGUUGUUCGGAAUUACUGGGCGUAAAGCGCACGUAGGCGGACUGUUAAGUCGGGGGUGAAAUCCUGGGGCUCAACCUCAGAAUUGCCUUCGAUACUGGCAGUCUUGAGUACGGGAGAGGUGAGUGGAAUUCCCAGUGUAGAGGUGAAAUUCGGAGAUAUUGGGAAGAACACCAGUGGCGAAGGCGGCUCACUGGCCCGUAACUGACGCUGAGGUGCGAAAGCGUGGGGAGCAAACAGG